GAUGAACGCUGGCGGCGUGCCUAAUACAUGCAAGUCGAGCGAACAGACGAGGAGCUUGCUCCUCUGACGUUAGCGGCGGACGGGUGAGUAACACGUGGAUAACCUACCUAUAAGACUGGGAUAACUUCGGGAAACCGGAGCUAAUACCGGAUAAUAUAUUGAACCGCAUGGUUCAAUAGUGAAAGACGGUUUUGCUGUCACUUAUAGAUGGAUCCGCGCCGCAUUAGCUAGUUGGUAAGGUAACGGCUUACCAAGGCAACGAUGCGUAGCCGACCUGAGAGGGUGAUCGGCCACACUGGAACUGAGACACGGUCCAGACUCCUACGGGAGGCAGCAGUAGGGAAUCUUCCGCAAUGGGCGAAAGCCUGACGGAGCAACGCCGCGUGAAUGAUGAAGGUCUUCGGAUCGUAAAACUCCGUUAUUAGGGAAGAACAAAUGUGUAAGUAACUAUGCACGUCUUGACGGUACCUAAUCAGAAAGCCACGGCUAACUACGUG
rnacentral:rRNA from 1 species